AAGGGGGGAGGUACCGGCAAUGUAGUCUUCCCAGGGGGCCCCACACCUCAGGGCUUCUCCUGUUGGCUUAUCACAAACCUUGCCUGGAGGAAGGAGAUAAGAUAACUGAGGGUCUAAGAGAUUGACUGGUCAGUUCGAAGUCACACUGCUUGUGAGGCGUCAACAGUCCCCUAGAACAUCUGCUUCUGCUGCUGAGGCCCAGGGGCAUUCGUCCCUUCCCUACACUUUCAGCAGUCCCAGCUGUCCUGGCAGGCAAGAGAAGGAAGAAGAACCUAGGAGGUCAAGAGAGAUGAGAGGGACAGGAAGGAUGGCAUCGGGAUGGGCUGUUUUCAUGUGCCAGGCGUCCAACAUGCAUCAUGUCAUUACCAUUCCUUGGUGUGGCUAUUACAUCUACAAUGGAGAUAGUAAGACACCCAAGGCCCAGAGUGGUUAGGAGACUCCCACCAAGUGGUACAGCUAAUAACUGAAGAAAAACCUGAACCUAGGACCAUCUGUGUUUUACACCACACUGGCAGG